rnacentral:tRNA from 1 species
GCUUUCGUGGUGUAGUGGUCUGCACACUCGGCGCGUAAUCGAGAGGUCCGUGGUUCGAUUCCCGGCGAAAGCG